rnacentral:rRNA from 1 species
CCUACGGGAGGCAGCAGUGGGGAAUAUUGCGCAAUGGGCGAAAGCCUGACGCAGCGACGCCGCGUGAGGGAUGAAGGUCUUCGGAUUGUAAACCUCUGUCAGCAGGGAAGAACGGUCCCUGUGCUAAUCAGCAGUGAAUUGACGGUACCUGCAAAGGAAGCACCGGCUAACUCCGUGCCAGCAGCCGCGGUAAUACGGAGGGGGCGAGCGUUAACCGGAAUUACUGGGCGUAAAGCGCUCGUAGGCGGUGAGGCAAGUCAAGGGUGAAAUCCCCGCGCUCAACGUGGGAACUGCCUUUGAAACUGUCAAGCUGGAGUGUGUGAGAGGAUAGUGGAAUUCCAGGUGUAGGGGUGAAAUGCGUAGAUAUCUGGAGGAACAUCAGUGGCGAAGGCGACUAGCUGGAACGUAACUGACGCUGAGGAGCGAAAGCGUGGGUAGCAAACAGGAUUAGAUACCCCAGUAGUC